rnacentral:rRNA from 1 species
GGCGUGCCAAUACAUGCAAGUCGAGCGGACAGAAGGGAGCUUGCUCCCGGAUGUUAGCGGCGGACGGGUGAGUAACACGUGGGUAACCUGCCUGUAAGACUGGGAUAACUCCGGGAAACCGGAGCUAAUACCGGAUAGUUCCUUGAACCGCAUGGUUCAAGGAUGAAAGACGGUUUCGGCUGUCACUUACAGAUGGACCCGCGGCGCAUUAGCUAGUUGGUGAGGUAACGGCUCACCAAGGCGACGAUGCGUAGCCGACCUGAGAGGGUGAUCGGCCACACUGGGACUGAGACACGGCCCAGACUCCUACGGGAGGCAGCAGUAGGGAAUCUUCCGCAAAUGGACGAAAGUCUGACGGAGCAACGCCGCGUGAGUGAUGAAGGUUUUCGGAUCGUAAAGCUCUGUUGUUAGGGAAGAACAAGUGCAAGAGUAACUGCUUGCACCUUGACGGUACCUAACCAGAAAGCCACGGCUAACUACGUGCCAGCAGCCGCGGUAAUACGUAGGUGGCAAGCGUUGUCCGGAAUUAUUGGGCGUAAAGGGCUCGCAGGCGGUUUCUUAAGUCUGAUGUGAAAGCCCCCGGCUCAACCGGGGGAGGGUCAUUGGAAACUGGGAAACUUGAGUGCAGAAGAGGAGAGUGGAAUUCCACGUGUAGCGGUGAAAUGCGUAGAGAUGUGGAGGAACACCAGUGGCGAAGGCGACUCUCUGGUCUGUAACUGACGCUGAGGAGCGAAAGCGUGGGGGAGCGAA